rnacentral:rRNA from 1 species
AAUCAACGCUGGCGGCGUGCCUCAGACAUGCAAGUCGAACGCGAAAGUCCCCUUCGGGGGAUAAGUAGAGUGGCGCACGGGUGAGUAACACGUAGGUAAUCUACCUUCGGGUGGGGAAUAACCCAGGGAAACUUGGGCUAACACCGCAUAAUGCAGCGGCACCACAUGGUGACAGUUGUUAAAGCGGGGGAUUUUCGGACCUCGCGCCUGGAGAGGAGCCUGCGGCAGAUUAGCUAGNGGUAAGGUAACGGCUUACCAAGGCGACGAUCUGUAACCGGCCUGAGAGGGCGGUCGGUCACACUGACACUGACAUACGGGUCAGACUCCUACGGGAGGCAGCAGUCGGGAAUUUUGGGCAAUGGGCGAAAGCCUGACCCAGCAACGCCGCGUGAAGGAUGAAAUCCCUCGGGAUGUAAACUUCGCAAGAUUGGGAAGAAUUAGUAGGGGUUGGUACCCCCUAUGAUGACGGUACCUUUUG